UCUUCCGCAAUGGACGAAAGUCUGACGGAGCAACGCCGCGUGUGUGAUGAAGGUUUUCGGACCGUAAAACUCUUUUGUUAGGGCAGAACCAGUACCGUUCGAAUAGGGCGGUACCUUGACGGUAUCUAACCAGAAAGCCACGGCUAACUACGUGCCAGCAGCCGCGGUAAUACGUAGGUGGCAAGCGUUGUCCGGAGAUAUUGGGCGUAAAGCGCGCGCAGGCGGUUUCUUAAGUCUGAUGUGAAAGCCCCCGGCUCAACCGGGGAGGGUCAUUGGAAACUGGGGAACUUGAGUGCAGAAGAGGAGAGUGGAAUUCCACGUGUAGCGGUGAAAUGCGUAGAGAUGUGGAGGAACACCAGUGGCGAAGGCGACUCUCUGGUCUGUAACUGACGCUGAGGCGCGAAAGCGUGGGGAGCGAACAG
rnacentral:rRNA from 1 species